rnacentral:lncRNA from 1 species
CAGCAUGUGCACUUCUUGUAAUGCGAGAGGUAGCGUGUGCUUAGCUCAUCUUGUGAGCGGCAGCAUGUACACUUCUCAUUUUUAUAUGAGAGACUGUUUGUACCUAUAGGCAGCAUGUGCACUUCUCGUAAUGUGAGAGGCAGCGUGUGCUCAGCUCAUCUUGUGAGCAAUAGCAUGUGCACUUUUCAUCCUCAUAUCAUAGGUUGAGGGUCCUUAUCGGUUAGCCCUUCGGAAGUCUCUUGGGGUCUCCCUCCGCUUCCCACACAACUCGGGCCCUGAUGGAGUCUUAUAAGUUAGCUCUGCCUCUAAGUCGCCCAGGUUUGCUCGCCAAAUUAUAGAUCGAGGGUCUUAUAAGUUAGUCUUUUGGAGGUCCC